UACGUAGGGGGCUAGCGUUGUCCGGAAUUAUUGGGCGUAAAGAGCUUGUAGGCGGUUUGUCGCGUCUGCCGUGAAAUUUCGGGGCUCAACCCCGAACUUGCGGUGGGUACGGGCAGACUAGAGUGUGGUAGGGGAGACUGGAAUUCCUGGUGUAGCGGUGAAAUGCGCAGAUAUCAGGAGGAACACCGAUGGCGAAGGCAGGUCUCUGGGCCACUACUGACGCUGAGAAGCGAAAGCAUGGGGAGCGAACAGG
rnacentral:rRNA from 1 species